GAGAUUUCUGGGAAGUGCUCAACGAGAGUGUUUCAGAAGUAUCUCAGGCAUUCUCUACUUAAAUUCUUCCAAGUAUUUGCCGUUCCCUUGUUGCAUCAAACUGAACCAAGAGAAAAGUAGUUCCCUUAGAACAAUAGAGAUUGAAGUCAUUCUGAUCACCUGUUCUAGGUGGGAGACCAGCCCAUAUUAGGAGCACAGGGAAGGAGACCAUCAAGAAAUUUUGACUUCCAAUGCUGCCUACCAUUUAAUCAUCUUAUUCACAUUUCUUGAUGGCGGAAAGGACCGGAUGUAAAAAGUCUUCCAUUAAUGGAGAUAACAGGAAGGUUCCUGGGUUUCAGUUUGGAAAAGAGAAGAUGCUCAUCAAAGUUAUUUUAUUCUAUAGGCUGAAAAACAAGGCCCUCUUGGAUUGUUGCCUUAAGGAGUGUUGGAUUGUUGUUCAUUCAUUUAGAAAUUUAAAAGGUGCUUACUUUUAGGUUAGCAAAGAGUUUAGCUUACUCGUUUUAAGUAUUUUAAAAGUUGAAUUCUUGUAUUGCCUAUGUAUUUAUU